rnacentral:rRNA from 1 species
UACGGGGGGGGCAAGCGUUGUUCGGAAUUACUGGGCGUAAAGGGCUCGUAGGCGGCCAACUAAGUCGGAUGUGAAAUCCCCAGGCUUAACCUGGGAACUGCAUCCGAUACUGGAUGGCUUGAAUCCGGGAGAGGGAUGCGGAAUUCCAGGUGUAGCGGUGAAAUGCGUAGAUAUCUAGAGGAACACCGGUGGCGAAGGCGGCAUCCUGGACCGGCAUUGACGCUGAGGAGCGAAAGCCAGGGGAGCAAACGGG